ensembl:lncRNA
AGCAGGGCGUAUCUUGGAUUAAGUACAAUGUUGGUUCAUGCUAAUGAAUAAACAUGUCAAUAGUCUCCCCCCUAUUGGUUUUAUUUGUUUUUUAAAUAAUAAAAAAGCUCUAUUAGAAGCACAACAAUUUCUUAUUCACCAUAGCAACCUGUUUUAUUUCUGUCCAGUACCAGUUCUUCGUGUGGAGCUUUGGGUUAUUUAAGACUAACAGUCUAACAGUCUUAAAUAACCUAAUAACCCAAACAAUCAAUAAUGUUUGUUCCUUACUACUACUCCAAAUUCAGAUUUUACAAUUCAAAGGUCACGGUUUGGGUUCAUGUCCUGUCUUAUUUUGUUGUUUUCUGCUUCUUGUCUCCCUGGGUAACUUCACUUCCUGCCUUGUCCUGUCAUGCCCUGUGAUUGUCUGAUUGUUUCCACCUGUGUCCAAUCACCUGUAUUUAAGUCAUGUGUGUCUCUUGUCACAUUUCGCGUCAUUGUUGGUUUUUCUGGAAGUUCAAUACUGAACGUCUUGUGAGUUCCUGCUCGUGUUUUGAAUUUGACGAUUAAAGUCUUUUGGUUUGAGCUCUGCGCUUGGGUCCUACCUUUCCCGCUUCCUGACAAUCAAGUCGUCUAGUCUUCACAACACUAGUUGUGUUGUAUAUUUACAGGAAAUUGAGACAAAACAUUAUGAAGGUCAUGUAUUUCAUGUUGCAUUUUAUUCCUAGUAACAAUCUGCUCUGUCUGCAUUUCCUUAAUGUGUCGAUUGCAUUAUGGAACAAUUAAACAAAGGAAUGAGUCUUUUGAUGCAUACUAGCCGUAUUGUAUAGCUUCACAAUACAUAUGUAGGUUGCCAUGGAAAUGCCCAAUAUAGGUUCGGGUAAAACCCAGCGAGAGUACGGACAAGAAUAAAUCAAAGCACACAUUGAAUUUACAGUGAAUUCCCAGAUAAGGACAGAGGAUAAGGGCAGUAACAAAUACAUCACACAAGUAUCCCAAUCAGAAGAGACCGGACUAUAAGAAAAACGCAUUAUUUAACAAAACAAACAAUGAUAUCAAUCCACAACCAGGGGGCGGAAGGUCUUCCACUAAAAUGUCACUAAAUCACAGCCGAGAUCUAUCUCCACAAUCACAGAUCACACAAAGAUUACGGCUGCAGACCUUUCACACAAUUACGGUCUGCUGGCACAGGUCAGAGCUCUGUCAGGUCCUUUAUCUCCAGGCCGGAUGGGUAAUUGGAAGCACCUGAUUAACGAGGGUUCCUCCGGAGAAACGGGAAAGAGAGACAAACCCACGCAGCGAGGAACAUAUCUACGCUCUAAAAGAGGAUCCGCUCUUUCUACUGGGGGGGGGGGCUCUGGGGUUUUAAGCAGCACCAGCCUUGGACUAAUUUGAUUCCACCAAUUUCUAAAUCUAACAGUAACAUAUGUAUUUGGGUUUUUCUCAGGAGAAUCUCAUCUGCUCUUAUUGAAAGUCGCUUUGGAUAAAAGCGUCAGCUAAAUGAAAAAUGUAGAUUUGAAUGUAUGCAUAAUUUCCUGGAACAGCAUCUGUCUCUGAUGAAGUCUUUUGUUCUAUUUGUGAGAUGUGGAACGAUGUUAUUGAGUUAAACGCACGUUUGAGACUGCUCUAUUAAAAGCCAGUGAAUCAGCGGUGUAAGAGAGAGUGUUUUGCUGGUGGCUGUGCUGUUUUCGUUGUCGAGAAGAAAAGCCAAAAUAGAAGGGCCUUGAAGCACAUUUAGGAGAUUGUCUUGAUAGGAUAAGUGCAAGAUAUAUUACUGCUGAGCUGAAAGGUUUGGCCCUCAUGGAGCGUCCACGAACUGCGGAACUGCUGCCAACGUGUGAGAAAAGAGAGGAUAAAUAAGGUUGAUCAACACGCACAGAUGCGUGACUGGUGUAAAGUCUAAAUCAGAUGAUCAACAGACGAUGCGACCACCACAACAACGGAACAAAAAAUGGUAAAAGUAUGAAAAUAUAAAGCGGUAUAUGUGUCCCUGAACUUUACCACCUCUGGGGUCGGCCAAGAAGAGAGACCCAGCAGAGAUGUUUGCACUUGUUGUUUGUACAGAACCGAUUUUUUUAUCCAAUUCAUCGAUUAUCCAAAUAAUCGUUAGUUGCACCCCUAAUGCUAUCACCAUGUAAUUAUAUCAUUUGUAAAACGUGGGGUGAUGAAGCAAUAUGAAAGUGCAGCAGUAAAAAUAUUAUUUGCUAUUUCUUUAUUUGUUGCUUUAGUCUAUUUUUUCUAAAAGUCAUUUUUAUAUCAUAUAUCAUCAUUAAGGUAUUAUAAGGGUAGGAUUAAAAAGAAAUAUAAAUGAUGCUGUAAUAAUCUCCCUACAGACGUAAUAAUCUCUUUAUGGAAAGAAAUCAUAAUUUGGUUAAUGUGAAAGAAUCACUUUUUAAGAAUCUUCUUUUUGUUCUUAAAAGGUAGUUUAAUUGAGAACUCAUGGUAGUUCCCCUGAUUUCAACAUUUGUCACGUGUGUCAAGUAUAAAGAAGCCAGCAUGGAUGUACGCUACCAACAUCCACACGCACACACACACACACACAGCGCAGAUUCUCGCCUCGUCCUCUUGAGACAGCUAAUGGAGGGUUUUAGAGAGCGAGUGUGUUGUCACAUCCCCCUCUGGUCUGUCUUCGUCACUCACAACCUCUGCAGCCAGGCAGCAUUCACGGCCAGUGUUUAAAUGAUGCAGGUCGUGCACGGAGCAUGCUGAAAGUCAACACGGGGUCAAUACAAAGAAAAUUAGUGUUCCAGCCCUACUUGUUUGCUCUAAUGGCCUUUUGACAUUAAUCACUCGAUGUCACAGUAUGUGUGCAUCAUCAGACAAAUAUUUCUUUUAGCCUACAGUGAAUGCCACUUUCCACAGGCAGCAUCAGUAAGGGGAAACAUGAUGAGCGUUAAGAGGCAGCUCUCUUCAGAACGAGCAUUUACCCAAUAAAUGAUAUGACUUGGUUCGGAUCACUUUUGAUCCGAACAACUACUUCUAUUUUCAAAUACAUAUAUUAACUACCAGCACCUGCUCAAACAGUAAAUCAGCUAACAGCAUUUUCCAAGAUGUAAAUCAAAUAUUGGAACUUUUAAAGACCCACAGCAAGUAGGAACCAAUGGGUUGUCUCAGUGAUGCAAUGCAUUUUUAUAUUUAGGCACCAUGAUGCAUCUCUGUUCUGUUCUGUUUCCAUACCUGUUUCUGUUGGAAGACUUGGCCAUAUUAUGUUGUGUAGAGCUGCCAGGACAGUGUCAAUGUGUUCAAAAGACAACUGCCUAUUUACACUUUAAAUUAAAAACAGCCUACAGCCUUUCCAUCCUUAUAAAUGUUCUUCAUAAUUCCUAAGUGGCCAUGCAUGCACUCAUUUUAUUAUUAAAUAGCAGGUAGCACAUUUCAGACACUGUUAUUUGUUGUUGAUUUAUUUAGUCCUGGUCUCUUAAAAAUUGAGUUCCUAUUCAUCAAACUAUCCCUAAUAAUUAAUUUAAGGUAAAAGUAUUUAUCUCACAUUUUUUAUUAAUUUGUUUUACUUCUUUUAUUUAACUGUGCCCUGAGGAAGUGUGAAUAGGGAGGACGUUGGUAUGUAAAGAAGGGUCAUAAAGACAGGCAGAUGAGUUUUUACUGGUAGACCUCUGUCUGCAUUCCCAAUGAGGAUGGAAAGUUAAUCCCACGUGUCUUUGAAAGCUUAGGAUGUAAAUGAAAUGAGACAGCCUUUCCUGUGGUCCAACACACUGCAGACCACAUUAAGGAUAUUCACUUCACUAGCGAGGACCACACAACCAAACAGAAGCACUUAAUAUAUUUAUUGAAGGUGACUUGUUUGAGAUGCAAGGUUUGAAGCUUGUGUAGCUGAUUCUGUUCACCUUAUAAGUUAUGAGGAACCUCAAUAAGAAAUCCGCUGGAACACCUGGGCAUGUUGAACCCGCCCCCCAGGACCAUACGUAAAGGAGCGAAGAAGAAAGGAAGAGAGAAAAUGGAAAGGUAGGGAGAGAGUCCCACUGAAUACGAGCCAAAAGGAGGAGUUGGUGCAUAACAAAGGACAAUGGACAACAAGACAGGUCUUGGUCCCAAUGGCCCUCAGCCUCCUGCCAGAUGGAAGAGGCACAACUAGAUUUUGUCCGGGUUAAGAGGGAUCAGAUACAAUCUUUUUAGCUCGCUUCAGGGUCCAGGAGGGACAGCAGAUUGCAGCCGAUCACCCUCUCUGCAGAGCGGAAGACACGCUGCAGCCUUCAAUUGUCCUUGGCUGUGGCUGCAGCGUACCAGGCGGUGAUGGAGGACCAGAGGAUGGACUCUACAUGAUGGCCGUGUAGAAGUGCACCAUCAUCGUCUUUGGCAGAUUAGUGAUGUUUUGAAAGCAGAGCUGAAGUGCACAAACAGGAUCCUGGCGUAGGUUCCUGGGGAGUCCAGAUGCUGGAGGAUGUAGUGGAGGGCCAUGUUGACAGCAUCGUCCAUGCCCCUGUUGGCUCUGUAGGCGAACUGCAGGGGGUCCAGGAGGGGGUCGGUGAGGGACUUCAGGUGGGACAGGACUAGCCGUUCAAAAGACUUCAUGACUACAGAGGUCAGGGCGACGGGCCUGUAGUCAUUGCAGUAAGUCCUGUGAUCAGGCUGGUAGGGGGCAAGUCUCCAGGUGUUGAAGAUGUCAGUGAACACAGGAGACAGCAGAUCAGCACAAUG